UAGGGAAUAUUGCGCAAUGGAGGAAACUCUGACGCAGCGACGCCGCGUGAGCGAUGAAGGCCUUCGGGUUGUAAAGCUCUGUCGCAGGGGAAUAAGAAAGUGAAUGUACUCUGCAAGAAAGGAUCGGCUAACUUCGUGCCAGCAGCCGCGGUAAGACGAGGGAUCCUAGCGUUGUUCGGAAUCAUUGGGCGUAAAGCGGGUGUAGGUGGCUUUGUAAGUCAGAUGUGAAAGCCCAGGGCUUAACCCUGGAAGUGCAUUUGAUACUACCGAGCUUGAGUGUAGGAGAGGUUACUAGAAUUCCUGGUGUAGUGGUGAAAUACGUAGAUAUCAAGAGGAAUACCGGAGGCGAAGGCGAGUAACUGGCCUAACACUGACACUCAGACCCGAAAGCGUGGGGAGCAAACA
rnacentral:rRNA from 1 species